UUAUAUGAUAAUGAGCAACCAUCAAGGAAC
rnacentral:piRNA from 1 species